rnacentral:rRNA from 1 species
UACGUAGGGGGCAAGCGUUGUCCGGAUUCAUUGGGCGUAAAGAGCGUGUAGGCGGCCAGGUAGGUCGGUUGUGAAAACUGGAGGCUCAACCUUCAGAGGUCGACCGAAACCAUCUGGCUAGAGUCCGGGAGAGGAGAGUGGAAUUCCGGGUGUAGUGGUGAAAUGCGUAGAGAUCCGGAGGAACCCCAGAGGCGAAGGCGGCAGCCUGGUUGGUAUCUGACGCUCGGACACGACAGCAUGGGGAGCGAACGGG